ACUUAUAUGGAGGUUCACUUUCUUCCCAUUAAUGUUAGGAUGAUGCUGAAUUAUGGUCCCAGUCGAUGGAAACUAAUCAUCUUCUUAUUGCUCUGUGCUACUGAAGUGGAACUCGACAAGGCACCAGAAUUGUCUCAAGCCAAUGGAAGUAACCAGAAAAAUGUAUAAAGGGAUGAUGCUGAAUUAUGGACCCAAACGAUGGAAAACAAAUCCUCUUCUUAUUGCUCUGUGCUACUGAUGUGGAACUCGACAAGGCACCAUAAUUGCCUCAAGCCAAAGGCAGUACUCAUAAAAAUGUAUAUAGGAAAACGAGUGUUUAAUACUUAAGCUAGCACUACCAAUCUGAUUCAUCAAAUCAAAGCCAUCACAAGGAAGAAGCUAGAUGAUGGAAAAUCAAGACAGGUGAGUCAGUUAUUGUUUCAAAAUCAAGCUCUUCACUCCAGCCUGCACCACAAAGAAGUACACCACGUCUGCCAUAAUUCAAGGAAAACAUAGCUAGCUCUACCAAACUGAUUCAGGAAAAUAGAGCUCUCAAAAAGCAAAAGCUAGAUGAUGCAAAAUCAAGACAAUUCUCUCAACGACAACAACAAAACAAGUCAACAACAGCAACGGAUAAAACCUCUGUGAUGAACAGAAGAGGACGUUGUUUUCAUGACGUCUUCAACUCUCAUCUGAGUUGACGAGAAACUCUACAACCAGAAAAAGAUUCUAUGAAACAGCUCUCUACAAAAAACAACUCAUCACCAGGGAGAAGAAGCUUAAUCGUUGAGGCCAAGACUCCAUGUUGUUCGAACAAGUCAGAUGAUGGAGGUUCAAUUUCUUCUCAUUAAUGUUAGGGAUGAUGCUGAAUUAUCACCCAAAUGGUGGAAAUCCGCUCUUCUUGCACUGUGCUACUGAAGUGGAACUCGACAAGGCACCAGAACUCAAAGCAAGACCCUGUGAACAAAAAGGUACCAGUCAUUGCUUCAUGCCAAUAAUUCCCUUCCACAGUUUUAGAUGGAAUGUGACUGAGAUAUGCCAUGGGUUUGAAGAAUGAAGAAGAUUGUGACUGAGUAACAACAUCAAAUUUUCUAGUUAUAGAUGUCUUUCACUCAAUACGUCUGCAAGAGAGGUUGAUCACAUUGCUUGUGUUGCAUUUGAUUUUGGGAAGCAAAGGUGCGGUAAACUUUGUUCAGUCUUGGAGGGAUCGCUGUUGUUGAGGAAAAUAGUCAUAUCAAUGGCUUCAGAGUAUACUGAGGUUGAAGUGAGUCAUCUCUUGAUUGACACUGCUGUGAUGGAUCUUCUUGUUCGGCACCCAGGACAGGGUUUUUUUCUUUCUGAAAGCCAGUCCAAUCUGGAACACUUUUUCCAGCUCCUCAUAGGUUCUCCCAAUUACCAAAAAUGUGCUUCAGCGAGCUGGAUCAUUGGAAGGGACUGGAAUUUAGCUUACGGGAGAUGCCUAUUGGAAGAGCUGCUCUGGGAGUUCCCUUUCCGGAGGAGACCAUCGCAGCUGCAAAACAUUGGAGGGUACAAGUGGGAUAACAGUGAAAAGCAUUUGAGGCGUGAGAGUUACUUCAGCUUCGUGCAGGUCUUAAAGUCUUUGCAAAUCUGAGACCUGCUACAGUUGUGCCAUAGUUAGUGGAUGCUUCCACCUUGAAGAUAGAGGUAGCAGAAGGUGUUGAUCUUAAAUAUUGUAAAAGAUCUUACAUGAGAGCCAAGGGGCAUAAAGACCAAUGAAAAUGGCGAAGAAGUUGUGUUUAACAGUGAGGUUUAUGCUACCCUCGAGGCCACUAUUUAAUGGAUGGAACGUGUAACAACAAUAGCCUCUGAAACGUGUAACAACACUAGCCUCUGAAUAUGUUGAUGUUGACAAUGCUGCGAUGCAGCUUGUUCGUGACCCCAAACAGUUUACACCAUUGCUACAAACAACAAAUUAGGGGAUAUAUUAUUAUCCGGUGAAGCUUCAAUGAAUGCUGCCAUCUUCUAGUCUCAGUGAUUCGCGACCUGGACUCUUUGAACCUUUACAUGGUUCUGCACCUGAUAUUGCUUGACAGGAUAAGACGAACCAAUUGGCAACCAUUCUCAGCGCUACAAUGCUUCUGAAAUACGGACUUGGAGAAGAAAAGGCAAUAAAGAGGAUUGAAGUUGCAGUGUUGGUUGGUUUCAGAACUGAAGACGUUUACUAUGUGGGAACAGUCUACUACAGCCUUGUGCUGCUGGUCCGAUAGAGCAACCUACAUGCCCAUUUUGUCUUGGUUAUUCAAAUAUAUGCAGAAAUAUAGCUUAGUGUAGCGCUAGAAAGUGUGAGUACAGGGAUGAUUCUGCAUUAUAUGGUGGUUCACUCUUCUUGUUCUGUAAGUCAUUUCCAAAUCCUCUUCUUUUCGACAAGGCACCAGAACUGACUCAAGCCAAAGGCAGUAAUCAGGAAAUUGCAUAAAGGUAAAUGAGUGUUUAAUACUUAGCUAGCACUACCAAUCUGAGUCAUCAAAAUCAAAGCCAUCACAAGGGCAAAGGUAGAUGACAGGUGCGUCAGUUAGUGUUUCAAAAUCAGCAAGUUCUUCACUCCACAACUCCAGCUUUUGCCUGCACCACAAAGAAGUACACCACAUCUGCCAUAAUUCAAGGGAAACAUAGCUACCUCUGCCAAACUGAUUCAGGAAAAUAGAGCUCUCAAAAGGCAAAAGCUAGAUGAUGCAAAAUCAAGACAGGUGAGCCAAAUUGUUCACUCUCUUUCUUCGCAUGUAUUAUUGUAAAGACAGACGACCGCCCCAAGUCAACAACAACAGUGGGAACAAUCCGCUGUAGGAGGGACGAUGAUUUCUUGACUCAGAUUUUUUCAAGGAAGAAGUAGAUUCAGAACACAAAAACGGUCGCUGGCGUGUUCUUACAGUAAAACAACAUCAAACUUGAUUAAAAGGGAAACGAGUGUUAAAAAACGUAGCUAGCACUACCAAUCUGAUUCAGCAAAGGCAACAAGAGAGCCAAAAACAAGUCAGAGGUCGGUGUCUGUGUUCUUGUUCCAACCGGGACCAUGACUCAGAUUUUUACAAGGACGUACGAAGUAGAUUCAGAACAAAAACGGUCGCCGGCGUGUUAUUACAAUAUAGAUCGGAUAUAUGCUUUGGUUUGAAGAUUGAAGAACAUUCUGAACCAAACAAAAGCAAACCUUCGCCCAACGGUAACAACGUCAAACAUAGAGGUGAUGAUCAGAAGAAGACGUUGUUUUCGUGGUAUUUCUUCAGCUCUCAUCUGAUUUGGCCAGAAACUCCACAACGACAAAAAAAAGAUUCUGUGAAACAUCUCUCCACAUAAAACAAAUCAUCACCGGAGGAGAGAAGAAGCUCAGUCGUCGAGGCAAAGACUCUUACUUUUUCCGAACA